rnacentral:tRNA from 1 species
GCCGAGGUGGUGGAACUGGCAGACACGCAGGUCUUAGGAACCUGUGGGGCAACCCGUGCGGGUUCAAAUCCCGCCCUCGGCACCA